CCUCCUCUCGGCUCCCCACCCUGGACUCCUCUCCACUGAGCGCGCCCUCCUCGGCGGGCGGAGACUGCAGUGCCGGGAGCUAAGGAAAGAUCUGAUACCUGGAGGUACAGCAGCCAUCCUGUGACCAUAAGGAGGACACCAGCGCAUUAAGAAGGGAAAGCUAAGAAGAUACAGAGGGCAAGGGUCACUGACAACAUGAUCAAGCCACUCUACCAGGCCUUACCUUCCUAUUCCCUGACUUCUUGUUGAAAGAAACAAUAAAACUUCUCAUUUUUUUUAA